CCCAAGAGCUCCUUUCACGGGUCACAUGUGUUCUAGCACCACUCGCUAGGCCCAGAGACAAACGGGGAAAGAGCACAGGGGUCACAGGCCGCCUCUGUUCGGGGACGCUGGUGUACGCCGAGGAAGUGCGUACAGUGUAUACAGUGCCGGAGUUCUUGCGUUCUGUACAGCAAUGAAAAACACGGGGCAGUAACAGAGAAAAGGCGGAGGCCUCGAGGGCCACCGAACAGUAGACCUGUGGGACUUCACGAAGCGUGUGGCGUGAGUACGAGAGGAUAACAACAAGGCUUUGCUAACGGAUGGAGUAAAGGACAAAACGGGCAGAUGGAGUGCUGUGUGUAGAGGCUCAGCUGCGUGAAGCACUUUGCUCCCUCUGGAGAGAAUUUCCAGAACCUCGGGGAAUGGAAACAUACAGGGAAAGAUCCCAAAUUUUAAUGUGGGUGUCUGGGUUUGUGUCUGAUACUCAAGUCAUGAUACUCAAAAGGGGACCAUGAAAGAGGAAGAAGAGAUCUUAAGUGAAGGUGUGUGUGUAAUUGAAUGCAUACAACAUGAAAGCAGAAGGAUGGGGGCACAUUGGAAGAGAGGAAAAGAACCACAAAAGAGAGGAGAAGGGGGAUGAAUAACAAGGAAAUAACAAAGCAAAGCAAAGCAAACAAACAAAAAUCCUCUAUUAUGGUGAAAGAGCCCUAGAGGACAAUAUGCACCGAAGCAGCCCCAUCUGAAUUUCAAAACAGGUUUCUUCGAAAAGGUGGUAUUGCAACCAGGCUUCGGGGACAGCUGCCAUCCUUUGAUGUGGCAGCAAGGGAACGAAAGGGAUGGCGAGGACAUUUCAGAGAGACACAAAAUCACUGUCAAAAGCAGCAAACAGGAGGGCGAGAAAAAACUAAUCUGAUGUGUGGGAGAGAUGGAGACCAUUACAGAAAACCACAACUCAUCAAACUGCAUUGAACAAGUGAUUGUGUGGUGUCCAACUCCAACGGACACAUCUAUCGUAUACCUCCUGCACCCAGGACCUUCACAGAACAUUGAGGAAGAAGGGACAGAAGAACUCUAAGAGCCAUACAACAGAAAGUCCAGAUUGUGUCUCCUAGAAAUGACAGGAAAGCUACACCCAUGAAGUAGUGUACACUCAAUAACACCUAAAUAAAACCUGAGCAUGCACAACACCAGUGGACAUGCUAACAUGGAAGGAUGAAAGCUCAUGAGGCAUCAACACUAGACAAAGAACUACAGGCAACUAAGGAAUGCUGAGGGCACAAGAAAUAGCCUUCCCCAGGAAGAGACUUUCAGUUGGUUAUUCAACACAGGUGGUCAGCCCUGAAAUCUUAUACAUACUAGUAACAUUCUACAGGCUAAACAACUUGUAUUUAAGACUAUACAAAUAUACAAAUACAUAACUACCAUUAAAGAAAAAGGCCAAGAAUAAAACUCAGGUGGAUCUCUAUGAGUUCCAGGCUAGCCAGGACUAUAUAAUAUGGACACCCUGUCUCAAAAAAAAAAAAAAAAUUCUUUGAAAGGAAGAAUUUUAGUGAGUUUUUCAUCUACACAUUGCAAAGCAAAAGAAAAGAAAAGAAAAAGAAAGGCCUUACAAGUUCUCAAGGAUGGACCCUUGUUAAUUAUAUCUCAGACAGCUGAUGAUUAUGAUAGAGAAUAAUUAUUAAAGUAGACAGGGAUGGAAUCUUUUGAAUUUGAAUCGUAAAUACUUUAUCUUUCCAUAAUUUAUCCUUUCAGGUACAACAUACAUUAAUAACCAAGUAUUUAAUGCAUAGAUCAAGGGAUGGGAUUAAAAAUUCAAAAAUGGGUGCUAGAGAGAUGGCUCAGAGGUUAAGAACACUGGCUGUUCUUCCAGAGGUCCUGAGUUCAAUUCCCAGCAACCACAUGGUGGCUCACAACCAUCUAUAGUAGAUCUGGUGCCCUUUGCUGGUGUGCAGGCAAAACACUGUAUAUGUAAUAAAUAAACAAAAAAC